rnacentral:tRNA from 1 species
CAAAUACCAUCUUGGCAGAAUUCUAAUGCAAAAGACUUAGAAUCUUAAUAUUCCUACA